rnacentral:rRNA from 1 species
ACGUAGCAAUACGUUUGUAAAGCGGCGAACGGGUGAGGAAUACAUGGGUAACCUACCCUCGAGUGGGGAAUAACUAGCCGAAAGGUUAGCUAAUACCGCGUACGCUCCUUGGACUUCGGUUCAGGGAGGAAAGCGAUACCGUGGGUAUCGCGCUCUUGGAUGGGCUCAUGUCCUAUCAGCUUGUUGGUGAGGUAACGGCUCACCAAGGCUUCGACGGGUAGCUGGUCUGAGAGGACGAUCAGCCACACUGGCACUGCGACACGGGCCAGACUCCUACGGGAGGCAGCAGUAAGGAAUAUUGCGCAAUGGGCGAAAGCCUGACGCAGCGACGCCGCGUGGGGGAUGAAGGUCUUCGGAUUGUAAACCCCUUUCGGGAGGGAAGAUGGAAUGGGGUAACCCAUUCGGACGGUACCUCCAGAAGCAGCCACGGCUAACUUCGUGCCAGCAGCCGCGGUAAUACGAAGGUGGCAAGCGUUAUUCGGAUUUACUGGGCGUACAGGGAGCGUAGGCGGUUCGGUAAGCCCUUUGUGAAAUCUUCAGGCUUAACCUGGAAAAGUCGGAGGGGACUGCCGGGCUAGAGGACGGGAGAGGAGCGCGGAAUUCCCGGUGUAGCGGUGAAAUGCGUAGAGAUCGGGAGGAAGGCCGGUGGCGAAGGCGGCGCUCUGGAACGUUUCUGACGCUGAGGCUCGAAAGCGUGGGGAGCAAACAGGAUUAGAUACCCUGGUAGUCCACGCCUUAAACUAUGAAUACUAAGUGUCGGCGGGUUACCGCCGGUGCCGCAGCUAACGCAUUAAGUA